AUGUUCGGUUCAGUAGCACAUAUACUAAAAUUGGAACAAUAAAGAGAAGAUUAUCAUGGUCCCUGCACAAGGAUAACACCCAAAUUCGUGAAGCAUUCCAUAUUUUU
rnacentral:snRNA from 1 species